rnacentral:rRNA from 1 species
UACGAGGGGGGCAAGUGUUGUUCGGAAUCACUGGGCGUAAAGGGAGCGUAGGCGGGCUCUUAAGUUGGAUGUUUAAAACCGGGGCCCAACCCCGGCGUGGCAUCCAAAACUGGGAGUCUUGAAUGGAACAGAGGCUAGUGGAAUUGGAGGUGUAGCGGUGGAAUGCGUAGAGAUCUCCAAGAACACCCGUUGCGAAGGCGGCUAGCUGGGUUCACAUUGACGCUGAGGCUCGAAAAGCGUGGGGGAGCAAACAGG